GUUGGAUGUCAGCCACCAGUCCAACAUAACACCUUCUCCUGCUUCAUACACCAGUGAAGCAUAACCCUGUGCUGUAUACCACCAAAUAGCACGGCAUGUUUUCUAGCUUUCAAUCAGCCAACCCAACAUCUUUUGAAGCAGCAUUCCGUCAAACAGACCAUCAUAUCCUGCUGCAUUCCAUCAAAUAAUGAUGCACUCGAUAAAAAAUCAAAAUCUAGAUAUUUAUUUGAAAAUAAAACUUGUAAAUAUAUAUAUAUAAAGACUAAAAACCUGCUCUCUUAGUAUUCCUUACAUUUCUAUCUUGGUUCCUCUCUAUGUUAGAAAACAAAUAUUUUAUCUGGCAGUCUACAGUGGCCAUUAGGCUAACUAGGAAAAUGCUCAAUGAACAGUGAUGAACAGCAUUAGCGUUAU